GGCCAUAUCACGUUGAAACACCGGUUCCCGUACUAUCACCGAAGGUAAGCAACAUCGAACCUGGUCAGUACCUAGAUGGGUGACCGUUUGGGAAUAUCAGGUACUGUAAG